AAUCCUGCUACAGUUUGCAUUCGGAGUCUCUGUAAUUAUCGGCUGUUAAUAAUGUUUCUCAUACGUGGCAGCUGGGGAAAAGCCACUAACUUUACAUCUGGAGCUGUCCACGCGCUGCUUGACGCUGGAAAAUACAACGGAAAGCUGAGUAAUGCUAACCAUUAGCUUCCACCAGCGCGCUGGCUGCAACUUGUUAACCCGGCUAGCUAACGUGUCUAGCUAACAUCAGCGCUAGCUUACUGCUUACCUCCAAUGCAGCCCGCAGCGAAGUCCAAUGCCAUUCCCACAAAAAAAAAAAAUCUAACGUUUGGAUAUUUGUCAAAGUAACUCGGUGACUGACAAACGUUGCUGAUGCUGAGCAAACGGAAGACAACGGCUUCCUCCGCCUGAAGGUUUUACUGGUGUCUACAUGGUAAGGGUGCAUCAGUGUUGCCUAUACAAAAUUCACAGCAGAACCCAAAGUAUCAUUGCCCAUGAAGAAGGAGUUCUGGGCCCCUCCACGGACCCCAGGCUCUGAGAGAUUAAUCCUUCUUUGCCACCUUUCUUACUACUUAAAUCAUCUGUGAACAGCUGCUGACCCCUGUACAGACCCAACCAGCUGUCUUGACAGUUUACCAGCACGCACAGUACCAGGACCCUGAAACCGUUACACCUGAGUGAGGUGAGAAAAGCAUUCAGAGCAGUCAUUACAUCACAAAAAGUCGAUCUUGAUAUGUUGGAUGGGAUAUUAUGGGAAAAAACGAAUAUGUUUGCUGUGUGACCACCGACAUAUUAAAGAAUGCUAUAUGCAUCUACAGAGCAACACAUACAUUAAAUGAAAUAUAUAUUAUUGAUACCUGUUUUCAAACUGUAUGUUUUUUGUCGUUCAAGUAGAGUUUAAUGAUGAGUCUGGGCAUUAGUGGGACAGAAUGAAGAUGAAGCGAAAGCGUUACUGUACCUUGAAAUAAGUCCCUUUUGCUGAUAAGAAUACAUUUGCUUUCAUUCCCUUUAAUAAGACACUGAAAGCUUACCGGUAACAAUUAUUGGUAUUAACAUCUCAUAAUAUAUCUCCCAUUAUCAUACAGAUGCUUUUGAUAACUACAGAGUGGUUAUCAAAAAUAGUUAGCAGUGACAUUAUUCAGAAGGCUUUUUUUUUUCCCCAAGUGAGAAAAAGACUUG